UUAAAAAGCUCGUAGUUGGAUUUCUGUUGAGGGCGACCGGUACGCAUUUCGUGCGUUAUCUGGUUCGGUCUUGGCAUCCUCUUGGGGAACGAUCCCAUGCUUAAUUGCAUGGAUCGGGAUUCAAGACUUUUACUUUGAGGAAAUUAGAGUGUUCACGGCAAGCAAGUGCUUUGAAUACAUUAGCAUGGAAUAAUAAUAUAGGACCUUUGUUCUAUUUUGUUGGUUUCUAGAACUAAGGUAAUGAUUAAUAGGGACAAUUGGGGGCAUUCGUAUUAACGCGUCAGAGGUGGAAUUCUUAGAUUGCGUUACGACGAACUACUGCGAAAGCAUUUGCCAAGGAUGUUUUCAUUGAUCAAGAACGAAAGUAUGGGGAUCGAAGACGCUUAGAUACCGUCGUAGUCUAUACCAUAAACUAUGCCAACUAGAGAUUGGAGGUCGUUCUCUUUAUGACUCCUUCAGCACCUUAUGAGAAAUCAAGUCUUUGGGUUCCGGGGGGAGUAUGGUCGCAAGGCUGAAACUUAGAGGAAUUGACGGAAGGGCACCACCAGGAGUGGAGCCUGCGGCUUAAUUUGACUC
rnacentral:rRNA from 1 species